GUGCUGUAUUGUUUGACUUGUAGAGGCUCAACCUAAGACUGUGGUUAAAGUUCUUUGGGUUUGACAAAGACUGGUUUUUGAUUGUGCUACUAUCAUGGCUGGUCUUUUAAAGUUUACUUCAGGCUUGAGUGGGUCUUUCAGACACUGAUUUGGACCUGGUUUAUGUGUGUCAUUCUUCGGCUGGUCAGCCAUGGAUUUGUACCUGCGUUUUGUCAUGUUUCCAACCCUUUGGCUCUUUGUUUUUGGUACAGAUGGUUUGGGAGCUGCACUAGGUACACUGGCACUUGACUCCCAGAUGGAUGAGAUUUUUGACUGAACAAUCUUGCCUUUGUACAUGCCAAGAGAAGGUUUUGAUGAUGGCCCAGCAGUGGAAGGCUUUAGAGCUUCUGCAUCCAUUUUCUUGUUUUUGACAGUGUGAUCAGAGGAAGGCCUGGCAGUGUGUUUGACACUGUUUGUCUUUAGUAUCCACAGCUAAUUUUUGUCUUUUCUCUAGAGUCAUUUUAAAAACCUCAGCAGACGUCAUCUUCAGCUUUGUUUGUUUUUUCUUGGCCUUGAUGAGACAAUUUCUGACGAAGGUUUCCUCUUUAGUUUUGCUUGUCAGUUGGAAGAAAGGAGCUGAUACUUUUCCCCUUUUGAUGAAGCCUUACUACAAAUACGGGCUGAACAUUUUCCUUGAUUUUCAUCUGAUCGGUUUAGCUCCAUGGCAAAGCUUCUGUAAGGUUAUUUAAUUAACCUGAAUAGUCAGUUAGCUUGGUUAGUUAGUUGGCUCGGUCAAUGCUUGGACUGGGACCUCCAAUAAUUUGGGAGUGUUUCUAUGAGCUUUGGACAAGCAGCAGGACCGUGGGGACCCUGUAGGAGGUGCUGAUGUAGAGUGAGGUAAUAGUAGAGGCAAUUGAGCAGACAGCAGAAACACAGCCACCCAACGCCAAGUGAACACGUGUGAACCAGGACCAACAGAGUGCAGUCUGACCUCAGAGACAGUGGCUCAGGACAGGACCACAAAUCCAGGACUGAUCGGAGUCAAAGGACAUAAAGAGACAGGGUCUGAUCCUUAAUAGUGUGUUGAGAUCAUAGACUGUAUACACUAUGGACAAGUUGGUUCUGCCUCCCGCCUGUAUACGGAUUUGAGGCCAAAAAACUCUCAGUAUUUCCGGGAUUUUUCUUCAUUUCCUGAAACCAGCGUUGCCAGUAGCAUUGUGCGCAUUCGGUGGGAGUGUCGCUGAGAGUCGCUGUGAUGACGCUCGGCUCAAACAGCGUAUCCCCCGGUUGAGCUACGCAAUCCCUGAACGCCAAUAGGCUGUAUCAGGUGUCAAUCAUAGAAAACAUGAACCCCCAAUAACUUUUAAAAAUGGAGCUGUACAGAAAAAAAAGAAGACUUGAGCAUAAACCAGUCUUACUGUAACUGCAUGUCAACAUCACAAGCAGGGGGGAGAAAAAUGUAUGUUCUGUGUAAUAAAUUUUGAAAGUUUGUCCACAGCUCCAUAAGCUUUGCUGGCGGAGGCGGGAUUUAUGACCUAUACUCUAGCCCAUCAACAGAGGGUGCUGUUCUCAGAGUGACUUCACCCAGCGAGGAGGCAGACGGCGUCCAUUCUAUAUACAGUCUAUGGUUAAGAUCCUCAGCAGAAUUGAAAUAAAACAGUGAUCUAUUCUUCGCACUGCUAGACGUUAUUCAAUUCACUGUUUCUCUCCAUGUUUCAAAAAGACUGUAAUUCUAUAAAAACAGUCACAAACACAUCAGCUUUGGUUUUGGUUUGGGUGAGGCGUCUUUAAGUGUCACAAACAUAAUGAAAUGUUGAGUUGUUGUCAGAGAUCCAUAAAUAUUGUUACUGUAAAUAAGUGGGUGGUAAUCUCCUGAGAUAUUCAGCUGAUGAAACCUCUAAAUGUAGAUUUACACCUCAGAGCUGAACUCUAAGCAGAGCUGUCACAGAGACAAGCAGAUUUAUGGAUGACAAACCACCAACUGAAUGUGUUGUACAUCUGUUAUAUCUGGAAACACACACACACACACACACACACACACACACACACACACACACACACACACACACACACACACACACACACACACACACACACACACACACAACAAACAGUAUGAUCCUCAUACAGUAUCUCUUCUCAGCUCGGGGGCUUUCACAAAGUUUUCUCGUCUUCAUAUCCUCCUCUG
rnacentral:lncRNA from 1 species